rnacentral:rRNA from 1 species
UACAGAGGGUGCAAGCGUUGUUCGGAAUUAUUGGGCGUAAAGGGCGCGUAGGCGGUGCGGUAAGUCUGUAGUGAAAUCUCUGGGCUCAACUCAGAGUCUGCUGCAGAAACUGCCGUGCUUGAGUGUGGGAGAGGUGAGUGGAAUUCCCGGUGUAGCGGUGAAAUGCGUAGAUAUUGGGAGGAACACCAGUGGCGAAGGCGGCUCACUGGACCGGUACUGACGCUGAUGCGCGAAAGCCAGGGGAGCAAACGGG